rnacentral:rRNA from 1 species
GGUUAAGUGACUAAGCGUACAUGGUGGAUGCCUUGGCAGUCAGAGGCGAUGAAGGACGUACUAACCUGCGAUAAGCCGUGAGCAGUCGGUAAGAGACAUUACGACUCACGGAUUUCCGAAUGGGGAAACCCACUUAGCAUAAGCUAGGUAUCGCUGCGUGAAUACAUAGCGUAGCGAGGCGAACCGGGAGAACUGAAACAUCUAAGUACCCCGAGGAAAAGAAAUCAACCGAGAUUCCCUCAGUAGCGGCGAGCGAACGGGGAUUAGCCCUUAAGCAUCUUGGAAGUUAGUGGAACGGUCCUGGAAAGGCCGGCGAUACAGGGUGAUAGCCCCGUACACGAAAACAACCUUGAUGUGAAAUCGAGUAGGGCGGGACACGUGACAUCCUGUCUGAAUAUGGGGGGACCAUCCUCCAAGGCUAAAUACUCCUGACUGACCGAUAGUGAACCAGUACCGUGAGGGAAAGGCGAAAAGAACCCCUGUGAGGGGAGUGAAAUAGAACCUGAAACCGUGUACGUACAAGCAGUGGGAGCCCUUCGGGGUGACUGCGUACCUUUUGUAUAAUGGGUCAGCGACUUACAUUUUGUAGCGAGGUUAACCGUAUAGGGGAGCCGUAGGGAAACCGAGUCUUAACUGGGCGUCUAGUUGCAAGGUGUAGACCCGAAACCGGGUGAUCUAGCCAUGGGCAGGUUGAAGGUUGAGUAACAUCAACUGGAGGACCGAACCCACUAACGUUGCAAAGUUAGGGGAUGACCUGUGGCUGGGGGUGAAAGGCCAAUCAAACUCGGAGAUAGCUGGUUCUCCCCGAAAGCUAUUUAGGUAGCGCCUCGGACGAAUACUACUGGGGGUAGAGCACUGUUUGGGCUAGGGGGUCAUCCCGACUUACCAACCCCAUGCAAACUCCGAAUACCAGUAAGUAAUAUCCGGGAGACACACGGCGGGUGCUAACGUCCGUCGUGAAGAGGGAAACAACCCAGACCGCCGGCUAAGGUCCCAAAGUUCUGGUUAAGUGGGAAACGAUGUGGGAAGGCUCAGACAGCUAGGAUGUUGGCUUAGAAGCAGCCAUCAUUUAAAGAAAGCGUAAUAGCUCACUAGUCGAGUCGGCCUGCGCGGAAGAUGUAACGGGGCUCAAACCAGGCACCGAAGCCGCGGAUUCACACUAAGUGUGAGUGGUAGGGGAGCGUUCUGUAAGUCUGCGAAGGUGUGUCGAGAGGCAUGCUGGAGAUAUCAGAAGUGCGAAUGCUGACGUAAGUAACGAUAAAGGGGGUGAAAAGCCUCCUCGCCGGAAGACCAAGGGUUCCUGUCCAACGUUAAUCGGGGCAGGGUGAGUCGACCCCUAAGGCGAGGCCGAAAGGCGUAGUCGAUGGGAAGCAGGUUAAUAUUCCUGCACGACUUGUAAUUGCGAUGGGGGGACGGAGAAGGCUAGGUGGGCCAGGCGACGGUUGUCCUGGUGAAAGUGCGUAGGUGGUGUUUCUAGGCAAAUCCGGAGACACAACACUGAGACACGAGACGAACACACUACGGUGUGGAAGCCAUUGAUGCCCUGCUUCCAGGAAAAGCCUCUAAGCUUCAGAUUACAAGUCAUCGUACCCCAAACCGACACAGGUGGUCGGGUAGAGAAUACCAAGGCGCUUGAGAGAACUCGGGUGAAGGAACUAGGCAAAAUAGAACCGUAACUUCGGGAGAAGGUUCGCUCUUGACAGUGAAGUCCCUUGCGGAUGGAGCAGUUGGGAGUCGCAGUGACCAGAUGGCUGGGACUGUUUAUCAAAAACACAGCACUCUGCAAACACGAAAGUGGACGUAUAGGGUGUGACACCUGCCCGGUGCCGGAAGGUUAAUUGAUGGGGUUAGCGCAAGCGAAGCUCUUGAUCGAAGCCCCGGUAAACGGCGGCCGUAACUAUAACGGUCCUAAGGUAGCGAAAUUCCUUGUCGGGUAAGUUCCGACCUGCACGAAUGGUGUAACCAUGGCCAUGCUGUCUCCACCCGAGACUCAGUGAAAUCGAAUUCGCCGUGAAGAUGCGGUGUACCCGCGGCUAGACGGAAAGACCCCGUGAACCUUUACUACAGCUUGGCACUGAACAUUGAACCUACAUGUGUAGGAUAGGUGGGAGGCUUUGAAGGCGUGACGCCAGUUGCGCUGGAGCCGUCCUUGAAAUACCACCCUUGUAUGUUUGAUGUUCUAACGCAGGCCCGUGAAUCCGGGUCGCGGACAGUGCCUGGUGGGUAGUUUGACUGGGGCGGUCUCCUCCCAAAGAGUAACGGAGGAGCACGAAGGUUGGCUAAUCCUGGUCGGACAUCAGGAGGUUAGUGCAAUGGCAUAAGCCAGCUUAACUGCGAGACGGACAGGUCGAGCAGGUACGAAAGUAGGUCAUAGUGAUCCGGUGGUUCUGAAUGGAAGGGCCAUCGCUCAACGGAUAAAAGGUACUCCGGGGAUAACAGGCUGAUACCGCCCAAGAGUUCAUAUCGACGGCGGUGUUUGGCACCUCGAUGUCGGCUCAUCACAUCCUGGGGCUGAAGUCGGUCCCAAGGGUAUGGCUGUUCGCCAUUUAAAGUGGUACGCGAGCUGGGUUCAGAACGUCGUGAGACAGUUCGGUCCCUAUCUGCCGUGGGCGUUGGAUGAUUGAAGGGAGUUGCUCCUAGUACGAGAGGACCGGAGUGAACGAACCUCUGGUGUUCGGGUUGUCACGCCAGUGGCACUGCCCGGUAGCUAAGUUCGGAAUCGAUAACCGCUGAAAGCAUCUAAGCGGGAAGCGAGCCCUGAGAUGAGUCAUCCCUGACCCCUUGAGGGUCCUAAAGGGCCGUUGGAGACCACAACGUUGAUAGGUGGGGUGUGUAAGCGCGGCGACGUGUUGAGCUAACCCAUACUAAUUACCCGUGAGGCUUAACCAU